CAAACAAAGUUCUAUAAUCAUUCUCAGAAUGGAGUAAAUCCCUUUAGGUCAUUUUAACCUUUGUUUUAGCAAAAACAAUUCCUGGCAGAGUUUACUUUUAUUGGAAACUUACAUUUUCAAGACAUUAGUUAGACUUCUUGUAGAGAGUUCCACGGAACCAAAGCUUCUAAAAACUUUUUUUAGAAGCAAUAAUAAUAAUAUUAAUUGUAAUAGACAAGAUACAAAAUAACAUAAAAAUACAUAUUAACUGAAAAAACAUCCCAACACAAACUUGCAAUAUGCUGCCUUGUUUUUU